UACGAAGGGGGCUAGCGUUGCUCGGAAUCACUGGGCGUAAAGCGCACUAGGCGGAUCCUUAAGUCGGUGGUGAAAUCCCGGGGCUCAACCCCGGAACUGCCUUUGAUACUGGGUAUCUCGAGUCCGGAAGAGGUGAGUGGAAUUCCGAGUGUAGAGGUGAAAUUCGUAGAUAUUCGGAGGAACACCAGUGGCGAAGGCGGCCUCACUGGUCCGGUACUGACGCUGAGGUGCGAAAGCGUGGGAGCAACAGG
rnacentral:rRNA from 1 species